rnacentral:rRNA from 1 species
UACGAAGGGGGCUAGCGUUGUUCGGAAUCACUGGGCGUAAAGCGCGCGUAGGCGGAUUGUUAAGUCAGGGGUGAAAUGCCGAGGCUCAACCUCGGAACUGCCUUUGAUACUGGCAAUCUUGAGUCCGGGAGAGGUGAGUGGAACUCCUAGUGUAGAGGUGAAAUUCGUAGAUAUUAGGAAGAACACCGGUGGCGAAGGCGGCCCACUGGUCCGGUACUGACGCUGAGGUGCGAAAGCGUGGGGAGCAAACAGG